rnacentral:rRNA from 1 species
UACAGAGGUGGCAAGCGUUGUUCGGAAUUACUGGGCGUAAAGGGCGCGUAGGCGGCCUUCUAAGUCAGACGUGAAAUCCCUCAGCUUAACUGGGGAACUGCGUCUGAGACUGGAUGGCUUGAGUGCAGGAGAGGAACGCGGAAUUCCAGGUGUAGCGGUGAAAUGCGUAGAUAUCUGGAGGAACACCGGUGGCGAAGGCGGCGUUCUGGACUGCUACUGACACUGAGGAACGAAAGCCAGGGGAGCAAACGGG